rnacentral:rRNA from 1 species
GGGUUGUGAGGUUAAGCGACUAAGCGUACACGGUGGAUGCCCUGGCAGUCAGAGGCGAUGAAGGACGUGCUAAUCUGCGAAAAGCGUCGGUAAGGUGAUAUGAACCGUUAUAACCGGCGAUGUCCGAAUGGGGAAACCCAGUGUGAUUCGUCACACUAUCGUUAACUGAAUACAUAGGUUAACGAGGCGAACCGGGGGAACUGAAACAUCUAAGUACCCCGAGGAAAAGAAAUCAACCGAGAUUCCCCCAGUAGCGGCGAGCGAACGGGGAGCAGCCCAGAGUCUGAAUCAGCUUGUGUGUUAGUGGAACGGUCUGGAAAGUCCGACGGUACAGGGUGAUAGUCCCGUACACCAAAAUGCACAGGUUGUGAACUCGAAGAGUAGGGCGGGACACGUGGUAUCCUGUCUGAAUAUGGGGGGACCAUCCUCCAAGGCUAAAUACUCCUGACUGACCGAUAGUGAACCAGUACCGUGAGGGAAAGGCGAAAAGAACCCCGGCGAGGGGAGUGAAAAAGAACCUGAAACCGUGUACGUACAAGCAGUGGGAGCACCUUCGGGUGUGACUGCGUACCUUUUGUAUAAUGGGUCAGCGACUUAUAUUCUGUAGCAAGGUUAACCGUAUAGGGGAGCCGCAGGGAAACCGAGUCUUAACUGGGCGUUAAGUUGCAGGGUAUAGACCCGAAACCCGGUGAUCUAGCCAUGGGCAGGUUGAAGGUUGGGUAACACUAACUGGAGGACCGAACCGACUAAUGUUGAAAAAUUAGCGGAUGACUUGUGGCUGGGGGUGAAAGGCCAAUCAAACCGGGAGAUAGCUGGUUCUCCCCGAAAGCUAUUUAGGUAGCGCCUCGUGAACUCAUCUUCGGGGGUAGAGCACUGUUUCGGCUAGGGGGUCAUCCCGACUUACCAACCCGAUGCAAACUACGAAUACCGAAGAAUGUUAUCACGGGAGACACACGGCGGGUGCUAACGUCCGUCGUGAAGAGGGAAACAACCCAGACCGCCAGCUAAGGUCCCAAAGUCAUGGUUAAGUGGGAAACGAUGUGGGAAGGCACAGACAGCCAGGAUGUUGGCUUAGAAGCAGCCAUCAUUUAAAGAAAGCGUAAUAGCUCACUGGUCGAGUCGGCCUGCGCGGAAGAUGUAACGGGGCUAAACCAUGCACCGAAGCUGCGGCAGCGACACUAUGUGUUGUUGGGUAGGGGAGCGUUCUGUAAGCCUGCGAAGGUGACCUGUGAGGGUUGCUGGAGGUAUCAGAAGUGCGAAUGCUGACAUAAGUAACGAUAAAGCGGGUGAAAAGCCCGCUCGCCGGAAGACCAAGGGUUCCUGUCCAACGUUAAUCGGGGCAGGGUGAGUCGACCCCUAAGGCGAGGCCGAAAGGCGUAGUCGAUGGGAAACAGGUUAAUAUUCCUGUACUUGGUGUUACUGCGAAGGGGGGACGGAGAAGGCUAUGUUAGCCGGGCGACGGUUGUCCCGGUUUAAGCAUGUAGGCUGGUUGUCCAGGCAAAUCCGGAUAAUCAAGGCUGAGGUGUGAUGACGAGGCACUACGGUGCUGAAGUAACAAAUGCCCUGCUUCCAGGAAAAGCCUCUAAGCAUCAGGUAACAUCAAAUCGUACCCCAAACCGACACAGGUGGUCAGGUAGAGAAUACCAAGGCGCUUGAGAGAACUCGGGUGAAGGAACUAGGCAAAAUGGUGCCGUAACUUCGGGAGAAGGCACGCUGGUGUGUAGGUGAAGUCCCUGCGGAUGGAGCUGAGACCAGUCGAAGAUACCAGCUGGCUGCAACUGUUUAUUAAAAACACAGCACUGUGCAAACACGAAAGUGGACGUAUACGGUGUGACGCCUGCCCGGUGCCGGAAGGUUAAUUGAUGGGGUUAUCCGUAAGGAGAAGCUCUUGAUCGAAGCCCCGGUAAACGGCGGCCGUAACUAUAACGGUCCUAAGGUAGCGAAAUUCCUUGUCGGGUAAGUUCCGACCUGCACGAAUGGCGUAAUGAUGGCCAGGCUGUCUCCACCCGAGACUCAGUGAAAUUGAACUCGCUGUGAAGAUGCAGUGUACCCGCGGCAAGACGGAAAGACCCCGUGAACCUUUACUAUAGCUUGACACUGAACAUUGAGCCUUGAUGUGUAGGAUAGGUGGGAGGCUUUGAAGCGUGGACGCCAGUCUGCGUGGAGCCAACCUUGAAAUACCACCCUUUAAUGUUUGAUGUUCUAACGUUGGCCCCUUAUCGGGGUUGCGGACAGUGUCUGGUGGGUAGUUUGACUGGGGCGGUCUCCUCCCAAAGCGUAACGGAGGAGCACGAAGGUUAGCUAAUCCUGGUCGGACAUCAGGAGGUUAGUGCAAUGGCAUAAGCUAGCUUGACUGCGAGCGUGACGGCGCGAGCAGGUGCGAAAGCAGGUCAUAGUGAUCCGGUGGUUCUGAAUGGAAGGGCCAUCGCUCAACGGAUAAAAGGUACUCCGGGGAUAACAGGCUGAUACCGCCCAAGAGUUCAUAUCGACGGCGGUGUUUGGCACCUCGAUGUCGGCUCAUCACAUCCUGGGGCUGAAGUAGGUCCCAAGGGUAUGGCUGUUCGCCAUUUAAAGUGGUACGCGAGCUGGGUUUAGAACGUCGUGAGACAGUUCGGUCCCUAUCUGCCGUGGGCGCUGGAGAAUUGAGGGGGGCUGCUCCUAGUACGAGAGGACCGGAGUGGACGCAUCACUGGUGUUCGGGUUGUCAUGCCAAUGGCACUGCCCGGUAGCUAAAUGCGGAAGAGAUAAGUGCUGAAAGCAUCUAAGCACGAAACUUGCCCCGAGAUGAGUUCUCCCUGAGACUUUAAGUCUCCUGAAGGAACGUUGAAGACGACGACGUUGAUAGGCCGGGUGUGUAAGCGCAGCGAUGCGUUGAGCUAACCGGUACUAAUGAACCGUGAGGCUUAACCUUACAACGCCGAAG